CCUACGGGUGGCAGCAGUGAGGAAUAUUGGGCAAUGGACGGAAGUCUGAACCAGCCAUGCCGCGUGCAGGAAGACGGCUCUAUGAGUUGUAAACUGCUUUUGUACAAGGGAAAACCUGAUUUCGUGUAUUCAGCUGAAAGUACUGUACGAAUAAGGAUCGGAUAACUCCGUGCCAGCAGCCGCGGUACUACGGAGGAUCCAAGCGUUAUCCGGAUUGAUUGGGCUUAAAGGGUGCGUAGGCGGAUGGAUAAGUUAGAGGUGAAAUGUCCGGGCUUAACUCGGGAACUGCCUCUAAUACUGUUGAACUAGAGAGUAGAUGCGGUAGGUGGAAUGUAAGGUGUAGCGGUGAAAGGCUUAGAGAUC
rnacentral:rRNA from 1 species